rnacentral:pre_miRNA from 1 species
UCAAGCCUGUAAUCCCAGCACUUUGGGAGGCCGAGACGGGUGGAUCACNGUGAUCCACCCGUCUCGGCCUCCCAAAGUGCUGGGAUUAUAGGCUUGA